AUUGAACGCUGGCGGCAGGCCUAACACAUGCAAGUCGAACGAGUGGCGGACGGGUGAGUAAUGUCUGGGAAACUGCCUGAUGGAGGGGGAUAACUACUGGAAACGGUAGCUAAUACCGCAUACCAUCGGAUGUGCCCAGAUGGGAUUAGCUAGUAGGUGGGGUAACGGCUCACCUAGGCGACGCUCCCUAGCUGGUCUGAGAGGAUGACCAGCCACACUGGAACUGAGACACGGUCCAGACUACUACGGGAGGCAGCAGGGGGGAAUAUUGAACAAUGGGCGCAAGCUUGAUGCAGCCAUGCCGCGUGUGUGAAGAAGGCCUUCGGGUUGUAAAGUACUUUAAGCGAGGAGGCGUUACUCGCAGAAGAAGAACCGGCUAACUCCGUGCCAGCAGCCGCGGUAAGAC
rnacentral:rRNA from 1 species